rnacentral:rRNA from 1 species
AGUCAAGUAAUUAAGUGCAUGUGGUGGAUGCCUUGGCAGUCAGAGGCGAUGAAAGACGUGAUAGCCUGCGAAAAGCUCCGGGGAGGCGGCAAAUAUCCUUUGAUCCGGAGAUGUCUGAAUGGGGGAACCCACCUACUUUAAGGUAGGUAUUGCAACAUGAAUACAUAGUGUUGCAAGGCGAACGAGGGGAAGUGAAACAUCUCAGUACCCUUAGGAAAAGAAAUCAAUUGAGAUUCCCUCAGUAGCGGCGAGCGAACGGGGAUCAGCCCAUUAAGUUAUGUGUGUUUUAGUGGAACGCUCUGGGAAGUGCGAACGUAGAGGGUGAUAUUCCCGUACACGAAAGGGCACACAUAAUGAUGACGAGUAGGGCGAGGCACGUGAAACCUUGUCUGAAUAUGGGGGGACCGAUCCUCCAAGGCUAAAUACUCCUGACUGACCGAUAGUGAACCAGUACCGUGAGGGAAAGGCGAAAAGAACCCCUGUGAGGGGAGUGAAAUAGAUCCUGAAACCGCAUGCAUACAAGCAGUGGGAGCACCUUCGUGGUGUGACUGCGUACUUUUGUAUAAUGGGUCAGCGACUUAUAUUCAGUAGCGAGGUUAACCGUAUAGGGGAGCCGUAGAGAAAUCGAGUCUUAAUAGGGCGUUUAGUUGCUGGGUAUAGACCCGAAACCAGGCGAUCUAUCCAUGAGCAGGUUGAAGGUUGGGUAACACUAACUGGAGGACCGAACCCACUGUCGUUGAAAAGCCAGGGGAUGACUUGUGGAUAGGGGUGAAAGGCUAAUCAAGCCUGGUGAUAGCUGGUUCUCCCCGAAAGCUAUUUAGGUAGCGCCUCGGACGAAUACCAUAGGGGGUAGAGCACUGUUUCGGCUAGGGGGUCAUCCCGACUUACCAAACCGAUGCAAACUCCGAAUACCUAUGAGUACUAUCCGGGAGACAGACUGCGGGUGCUAACGUCCGUAGUCAAGAGGAAAACAAUCCAGACCGCCAGCUAAGGCCCCAAAAUCAUAGUUAAGUGGGAAACGAUGUGGGAAGGCAUAGACAGCUAGGAGGUUGGCUUAGAAGCAGCCACCCUUUAAAGAAAGCGUAAUAGCUCACUAGUCGAGUCGGCCUGCGCGGAAGAUGUAACGGGGCUAAAACUAUGUGCCGAAGCUGCGGAUGUAUACUUUGUAUACGUGGUAGGGGAGCGUUCUGUAAGCCGAUGAAGGUGUGUUGAGAAGCAUGCUGGAGGUAUCAGAAGUGCGAAUGCUGACGUGAGUAACGACAAAACGGGUGAAAAACCCGUUCGCCGAAAGACCAAGGGUUCCAGUCCAACGUUAAUCGGGGCUGGGUGAGUCGACCCCUAAGGCGAGGCCGAAAGGCGUAGUCGAUGGGAAAAUGGUUAAUAUUCCAUUACUUCUGUGUAAUGCGAUGAGAGGACGGAGAAGGCUAAAUCAGCCUGGCGUUGGUUGUCCAGGUGAAAGGAUGUAGGCAUGUAUCUUAGGCAAAUCCGGGGUACUCUAUGCUGAGAUCUGAUAGCAAGCUGUACUUGUACAGCGAAGUGGUUGAUGCCAUGCUUCCAGGAAAAGUCUCUAAGCUUCAGUUACACAGGAAUCGUACCCGAAACCGACACAGGUGGUCAGGUCGAGUAGACCAAGGCGCUUGAGAGAACUCUGCUGAAGGAACUAGGCAAAAUGGUACCGUAACUUCGGGAGAAGGUACGCUGUUGUUGGUGAUGGAACUCGCUUCCUGAGCUGACGACAGCCGCAGAAACCAGGCCGCUGCAACUGUUUAUUAAAAACAUAGCACUCUGCAAACACGAAAGUGGACGUAUAGGGUGUGAUGCCUGCCCGGUGCUGGAAGGUUAAUUGAUGGGGUUAGCGUAAGCGAAGCUCUUGAUCGAAGCCCCAGUAAACGGCGGCCGUAACUAUAACGGUCCUAAGGUAGCGAAAUUCCUUGUCGGGUAAGUUCCGACCUGCACGAAUGGCAUAAUGAUGGCGGCGCUGUCUCCAGCAGAGGCUCAGUGAAAUCGAAAUCGCUGUGAAGAUGCAGUGUACCCGCGGCUAGACGGAAAGACCCCGUGAACCUUUACUGCAGCUUGACACUGAACUUUGACCUUACUUGUGUAGGAUAGGUGGGAGGCUUUGAAGCUGGAACGCUAGUUCCAGUGGAGCCGUCCUUGAAAUACCACCCUGGUAAUGUUGAGGUUCUAACUCUGUCCCGUGAUCCGGGACGAGGACCGUGUCUGGUGGGUAGUUUGACUGGGGCGGUCUCCUCCUAAAGAGUAACGGAGGAGUACGAAGGUGCGCUCAGCGUGGUCGGAAAUCACGCGUAGAGUAUAAAGGCAAAAGCGCGCUUAACUGCGAGACCCACAAGUCGAGCAGGUACGAAAGUAGGUCUUAGUGAUCCGGUGGUUCUGUAUGGAAGGGCCAUCGCUCAACGGAUAAAAGGUACUCUGGGGAUAACAGGCUGAUACCGCCCAAGAGUUCAUAUCGACGGCGGUGUUUGGCACCUCGAUGUCGGCUCAUCUCAUCCUGGGGCUGAAGCAGGUCCCAAGGGUAUGGCUGUUCGCCAUUUAAAGAGGUACGCGAGCUGGGUUUAGAACGUCGUGAGACAGUUCGGUCCCUAUCUACCGUGGGCGCUGGAAAUUUGAGAGGAUCUGCUCCUAGUACGAGAGGACCAGAGUGGACGAACCUCUGGUGUACCGGUUGUGACGCCAGUCGCAUCGCCGGGUAGCUAUGUUCGGAAGGGAUAACCGCUGAAAGCAUCUAAGCGGGAAGCCUACCUCAAGAUAAGAUUUCCCUAGGACUUUAUGUCCUCUAAAGAGCCGUUCGAGACUAGGACGUUGAUAGGUUGGAUGUGGAAGCAUAGUGAUAUGUGAAGCUGACCAAUACUAAUUGCUCGUGAGGCUUGACUAUACAACACCC